rnacentral:rRNA from 1 species
UCCGUGACGGCGUGCCUUUUGCAUAAUGAGCCUACGAGUUACUCCUCAUCGGCAAGGGUAAGGCAUUCAGUGCUGUACCCGGAGCGAAAGCGAGUCUGAAAGGGCGAUUGAGUCGGUGGGGGUAGACGCGAAACUUAGUGAUCUACCCAUGGCCAGGUUGAAGUGUUGGUAACACAACAUGGAGGACCGAACCGAUAAGCGUUGAAAAGCUUCCGGAUGAGCUGUGGGUAGGGGUGAAAGGCCAAUCAAACUCGGAAAUAGCUCGUACUCCCCGAAAUGCAUUUAGGUGCAGCGUUGAUUUAUAGUUUUAUAGAGGUAGAGCUACUGAUUGGAUGCGGGGGCUUCACCGCCUACCAAUUCCUGACAAACUCCGAAUGCUAUAAAAUGUUAAUCAGCAGUGAGGGCAUGGGUGCUAAGGUCCAUGUCCGAGAGGGAAAGAACCCAGAUCAUCAGCUAAGGCCCCCAAAUGUAUGUUAAGUUGAUCAAACGUUGUGCGAUUGCAUAGACAGCUAGGAUGUUGGCUU